rnacentral:tRNA from 1 species
GCGCCUGUAGCUCACACGGAUAGAGCAAGAGUUUCCUAAACUCUGGGUAGCAGGUUCGACUCCUGCCAGGCGCA